rnacentral:rRNA from 1 species
UACGUAGGGACCAAGCGUUGUUCGGAUUUACUGGGCGUAAAGGGCGCGUAGGCGGCGCGGUAAGUCACUUGUGAAAUCUCUGAGCUUAACUCAGAGCGGCCAAGUGAUACUGCAGUGCUAGAGUGUGGAAGGGGCAAUCGGAAUUCUUGGUGUAGCGGUGAAAUGCGUAGAUAUCAAGAGGAACACCUGAGGUGAAGACGGGUUGCUGGGCCAACACUGACGCUGAGGCGCGAAAGCCAGGGGAGCAAACGGG